AAGUCACUUGUCGCUGCCGGUCGCUGCUAUACGUAUAUCUUAGUCGUUUUGAUCGUCCGCUUCUGGUACGAAGACAUCUGUUGGUGUGUUUCCUCGUCGUUCCCUUCUGCCAUGGCUGUUUCCGGUUCCGCAGAUUCGGCUACUUGAUGUGCAUCAUAAUUUGUAUCAUCGCCGAUGUCUUGUUCAUAUGCCGGUUCAUCAACGUCUCCCGAAAUGUCCUCUGCCGGAUCUGCUUUUUCUUCUUGUGGCAAGCCUAGUACAGGUAACAACAUCAGCAUCAUUUUCGACAUUUUCUUCUUCGUACGCUGGAUCGGGAUAAUCUGCUAUUUCUAGCGCUGCGCCAACGGCGUCACCGUCUGGUGCGGAACCUGGGUUAUCAGACUCCUGUGGAACAUAUGAUAACUGCUUCAAAUCGGGUGUUCCUUUUUCAUCCUUCGUCUUUAUUUUAUUUUACACAGUUGUGAAACAAAAAUGUUGUCCAUUCAGGGUUUACCAUCUUUUAAGCCGGUCUAUUACAGCAGUAGACAACGCUCGAGUACUACGGCGUACAAGAGUGUCCCACGUCUUACGAUGACAAUUGAUGACUCAUCCUAAACUGUUUAUCUCAAGUUGUUUUUUUCUUUUCAUGCAACGGCGCAGUCGCGUUAGUAAGUGUUAAGCUAUUUUUGGUUUUUGUUAGUUGGGUUAAGGUGAGUAAGUGUUUUGUUAAAUUAAGUUAGUGCAUGCAGGGUUAUGUUAUACAAACAGAGAGUUCACAUGGGAAACAGUGGGAGACAGUACAGUACAUGAAAAAGAGUGCAUGAACGAUUGAAGGGAUCUGAAAGGCAUUUAACCGGGAGCAGGAAUCAAACUCGGUACCUUUCGUAUCAACACUACAUGCCAUAACCAGUAGAUCAUAUCCUCAACGACAAUUGGCUAAGUGUUUUAUUAAUUUUUUAUGUGAGAUCAUUCAUCAUAAUCAUAAUGGUAGCUUAUUGGUAUAGGCGUUGACUGACGUUUCAGGUGUACGGGUUCGUUUCCAGGGAAGGCUCAUUAGGUAAUGCCCGACAUAAAUUAGACAAUUCUUUUCAUUUUUUUCAUUUGUUUUAUUUAAAACUUUUAUAUAACCUUAUUCAUACAUCGGAAAAUUUGAUCCCGCAAUUUAGGCAUGCGGGAUACCUAGGUUGCGGGAUGCAUCCCGCAUUCUAGGCAGGGCUAUCGCUAUGACACUAUCCCAAAUCCCGCUCCCCUCACUUUAGGCACACCCUCUAUUAUUUCUGCGUUCGUGUGGGUUCUGCAGCAACUGUGUCGUCGUCGGUGAAAAUUUCAAGUAGAGUUUUCGAGUUCCGGUCUUUUGGAAGUUUUACACAUGCGUGUUUCAUGUAGUGAGCAACUAAUGAUACCGGUCGCAUCUGGGGACUAAAUUCACAUGAAUGAACUCGACUCGUGUCGAUCUGUGCCGACGGCCUUUUUUAACCUGCACAAAAUUUCGAGACUGAAUCAGCCAGGGGAAAGUGCACAUAUGCAGGAGCAGCUGCCAUUCAGUUAGAUGCGACCCAGUUUUAUUCUUAAAUUCAGAGACAAGAUAUUUGAGUGGGAUUUCAGUCAUUCGACGUUGACCAAAGGACCGAAUCGUUUGGAUCUUUGCGUCCACAUAAAAUGACGAUGAUUUCCGUCCUAAUUGUUGUUUAUUUCUUUGCUGCUGCUGUUGCUCUGAACGAUAUCGUGACAACAGAAUCAUCGCAAUAUCCCGUCUAACCUAAUAAAUGGAGAAAUUCCUAGAAAGUGUUCUUUCCACAUCUUUUCACUUAACUACGACUACGGAAACUAUACCGAUCAGAGGGCACAAUUUUCCUGCUCGCACGUUAAUCUCACUAGCCCAGGAAGUUAUUUGAAAGUCACCAAUUCUUUAGAAAUGGACUAUGUAGAUGUGCCUGUAGUGAACCGAAUAUAUGUUUCAGAUAUCGCAAUGUAUCAACAGUACAUGAUAUCUCUCUAUUCCCUUUUCACCAUCGGCGAUCAGUUUGAAUGCAAUUGGGAACCAUAUGUACCUCCAACGAUUUCAAAAGUUGCCGUGACUCUUCAGCAACGACGGCUAAUGGAACCCUUCAACCAUUUACCGAUUAUGAUACGAAAAUUCCGAGAUGGUGCGAUUUUACUAUUCAAGUUUCCACUGAUCAUUCGGUUCAGUUUUCUUGUUCGGUCGUCAAUCUGACAACUUCUGGAAGUUCUUUGCAAUUGCGCGACUGGAACGGCGCUUUAAUUACUGAGCCACCCAUUACUAACCAGGGAUAUAUUUCAAAGAACUUCAUGAUGGUUGUGUCAGCGCGAUUUUUUUACCCAGAUUGGUUCAAUUGUCAAUGGAAAACCGUUCCGGUACCCUUGGUGAAAGAGCCGCAACAACCCAUUUUUCAAAUGUGUAAUAACGACCACGAAACUAGAUCUGUGAAUGGAACCCUUCAGCCCUUUAAGGCGUAUGCAACAGGACUCCACACCGUUGGAUGUCGUUUCUAUAUUUACGUACCUGUUGAUCAGCGAGUUCAAAUGACUUGCUCAGUAGUAAGAAUGCACCCUGGCUUCUUCGGUGAUGCGAGUUUUAUCAAUUUUUAUGAAAUGGACGGCACAGUUAUAUCUAUGCAGCCACUUGAGAACGAGGUUACACAUCCUUCGGCAACGUUUUGUAUGUGUGGUCAUUUUUCGGCUUCUCAGACUGGUUCGAGUGCAGCUGGACAACAAUAAUUCCUUCGCCGGUUCUUGUUACUUGUUCUAAUAAUAAAGUGUGCGGGCAGAUGUGUUCUAAUGUGACGUCAACGGGAGGGAUUGUACAGUCUCCAAACUUCCCUGAUGAUUAUGGGAAUUUUGACAUGGGCUGUGCAUUUAACAUUGACGUGCCAGUAGGAAAGACAGUCCAGUUGACAUUCAAUUCCUUCAAUUUGGAAACCAAUUAUGACUUUGUUUCUGUUUUUGACGGAACAACAUCCAUGAUUUUGUUGAACGAGGCAACCGGAAACACAAUUCCCUUGGAAGUAACCACAAAAUCUAAUAGGAUGAUAAUCAAGUUUACUACUUCCACCUUAUUUAGGAAAUCCUGGUAUCUAUGGAUGGCAGGCAACCUUCACUGCUAUGAAAGCAUCAACAGCUCUCUCGACUUCAUCGUCGACAACGGAACUCGCUCAAAUGUCGACAACCGCAAUAACAUCAAGUUUUGAGGAGACGGAGACAGCGACAGCGACCGCGACAGCGACAGCGAAAGCGAGCUCAGCAGAACCUAUUCCGACUUUCCAACCUUGCCACGACAAUUACACGACGUCGCUCAGAGGGAACCUCAAACAUCCAGCUAAUAAUGUUGAUCUGGAAAAUGUGAAAUCCUGCACUUUUAUUAUCGAUGUACCUACUGAUCGAUGGAACCACUUUUCAUGUUCAAUCGUUAACCUUGGCAAUACCAGUUCUUUAUUUCUAGACGGAUUAAUGGGAAAUGACUGGAAUAUCCCCGUAGAAAACGUUACUUAUACUUCAAAUUACGAUGACGUUUAUGUGCAUUUUCAAGUCUCUAAUUGUGAUGAGGUUGAUUGCGAAUGGACAACUAUUCCGGGAUUGGCGACGGCAGUGAGAAAUUUCAAAUUAUGCGGUGAGAGAUAUACAACGUCAUCUUAUGGGAGCAUUCAGCCUUUCACUGGAAAUUUCACAAUCGACGAAUUGAGACCAUGUAGUUUAAUCGUUGUCGUACCUCCUUUUCUACAUCUUGAAAUAUCUUGUCCGGUCAUCAACUUAUCGAAUCCUACUAGUUCAAUGCAACUAUUAGAAGCUCUCGAAAUGGAUUUAGGCCUACCAAUCGUAAACAGGAAAUAUUAUACUAAUGAGGGGUACAACGAUUUCUAUUCAAUUCUCGGCAAAUCUGAUUGGUUUGAGACUUUGAGUGCAAUUGGAUAGCGAUUCCAGUUUCCAAGGACCCGAAGGAUUUCAAACUUUGCGUAGACGGAAGUGCAGAAGUGUCUGAAGGGAUUAUUCGUCCUUUUCAUGAUGGAAUGAAAUUGCCGCGAACAUGUUCGUUUACCAUUCGUGAAUCUCCUAAUAAGCCCUUCACUUACAUUUAUUGCCCCACUGUUAAUCUAACUAGCCCUGGAAGUUAUUUGAAACUUCAUUCUACUUAUGAGGGCAACAUAAUUGCGAAUCCACCCAUCGCAAACCAGAUUUAUAGCAUACAACCAUCUAGUCAUUUUAUUAUAGUAGAUUCAAAAUUCAACGAUGUUGAUUUGUUCGAAUGCCGCUGGACUACAGAAGAAGUUCUCCUUCCUACUUUUCUACCCGUUAUUCAGCAGAAAACAACACCAACGAUAACACCUACACCAAGUACUACAGAUUCUGAAUUCUUUACUUCCAGAACAUUGACAGCAUCGAUAGUAGAGACCACUACCGUAUCGUGUGCAACUUGCAAAUCAAUUGGUGGAUCUUGCACGUUUUUAACUAUGACAAGCGGAACAAUCCAGUCGAUUAACUUCCCGAAUCAAGAUUACGCAAUAGGGGCUCGUAUUCCUGCCAACAAAACUUAUUUCGAAGCUUAUUUUUUCAUCGAAUCGCUUUGCGGUCGCAUUAAACUGACAUUCAACACGUUCAAUGUUCAACCAGGUGGCGACGUAAUUUUUGUUUACAAUGGCAAACCGGAUCCGCUUCCCAGUGGCGAAAGUGGCUAUAACACUCCACUUUUGUGGUCUUCGCUAUCUUUGUCUUAUGCUUCCGACUACAGUCAUUUCACGGAAUCCCCCCCUGUUAUCAUCGGUACAUCCAACAUAAUGACAAUUUUGUUUCUUGGUGAUACACCCGAGAACACAAAACUGAUGACAUCGCAACAACCGGCACGCUGGCAGGCGACAUACAAUAUUGCAUAAUUUUCUUUCUUUUUUUUUCAAAUAAGAUAUCAAGUUGUUCAACCUUUUUUUUACAUUUUCGCUUUUAUUAGUUAUAUCUUUCAAGCUGCUUAAAAGUAAAUAAACUUUUGGUUUCGGGCUACUGGAAAAAAACCCAAU
rnacentral:lncRNA from 1 species